rnacentral:rRNA from 1 species
GACGGAGGAUGCAAGUGUUAUCCGGAAUCACUGGGCGUAAAGCGUCUGUAGGUGGUUUAAAAAGUCCACUGUUAAAGAUUGAAGCUUAACUUCAAAAAUGCCGUGGAAACUUUUAAACUUGAGUAUGAUAGGGGUAGAGGGAAUUUCCAGUGGAGCGGUGAAAUGCGUAGAUAUCAGGAGGAACACCGGUGGCGAAGGCGGGUCUCUGGGCCGAUACUGACGCUGAGGAGCGAAAGCGUGGGGAGCGAACAGG